CUGCCAUCAAACACACACGCACACAAAGAACAAAAAACAAAGAACAAAGAAAGAAGAAGGUCAC
rnacentral:ribozyme from 1 species